rnacentral:sRNA from 1 species
UAUAAAAUUCUAUAAUGUUUAAGAAUCAAAUCAGAUUAAAAGAAUCAAAUCUGACUAAAAGAAUCAUGAAUCAAUCUUGUUUUCUUAUAUUCAAAUUGCUGCCAACACAUGUCAUUGUAUACUUUUCAUAUUCCUUCUUGUAAUUUUCUGUUGUCAAAUUUUUAUGGUCGUUGUUAUCGUUAUUUUCACCGUCUGUUUCUCUGUUAUACUAAUCUUUUCCUUCCUCUCCUCUUUCCUCACUUUCUUCUUCAUCCUCUCCAUCUUCUUCUGUAACAAACAUUUGUUAUUAUGUGGUUAAAAAACAGAGUAGAAAAUUUAAACUUACUAACAUUAACCAAACAUAUAUAGCUCAAUAUGCAUGUGGAUUAACUAUUCAAAAC